GUUCGUUUAAUUUUGAGCUCAAUGUCACGGGCCUAGUUUCGUUACACCCGAACAAACUAGAGCCGUGCGGCCUUAACGUUCUACAAUUCCCGCACCUCACGAGAAAACGUCAAGUCAGCCUUUCCACGCCCACAAAUAAUUUAACCAAUGAGGCUAAAUUAUACCCACGUUGAGAAGAGAAUUUUGAAGUAAGUAAUAUAUGGAAAACAAGUAAAGAUGGGGAAACUUUCUUUAUAUAAAUGAAAGGAAAAACUUUACAAUCUCUCUUGAAAGAAUAAACUCACUCCUCUCUUAUAUUCUCUACACUCUCUAACCUCUACUCCAUACCAUUUACAUAUGAGACUACCUCUCUAUUUAUAGAAAAACUUUAACCUCCUUAACCUUCCACUUUACAACUUGCGCUUGGUUGUCGCCACCUCGUGCUUGGUUGUCGCCAACUCAUUCUUAGUUGUCUUCAAGUGGAUGGUAUUACAACUUGCAUUGCAAGUUGUCGCCAACUCGUGCCUAGCUUGCAUACAACUCGCGCCUAGCUUGCGCCGUUGAUAUUUAUCCUUGCCAACUCGUGCUUAGCUUGCAUACAACUCGUGCUUAGCUUGCAAGUGGCCCACAAGUGGACAAGUUGUGCAACUUGCCCACUUGCAUCCUCAAAAUAUCAAGCUGCAGGUCCAUGUAUUUUUCCUCUCAAAAUGACUGGGUCGGGACUUACAAAAACCUCAUUAAUGCCCUGGAAAACUGCACGAUCUAGGCAGCAUGCAUUCUGCCCCAAAGUCAUCUAUGCAUCCCCAGCCCGAAUCUACCUGCGACCUUUACCAAAUCUGCUUGCGUCCCCUAUCGCAAGCUAUUCCGUCCUUUUGAAACGCGUUACCCGCGCUAUCUUGCGAUCGCUACCGGGACGGAUCGAACGCGACCGCGUUAAGUGUAAAUCACUCCCCCACUGAAUUUGGCGACGCACUCAUCGCCAUAUAUUGCCGAAGCAUAGACCUUAUUUGCCAUAAGUCUAUCUCAUUUUCCCACCUUGUGCCAUGACAUUCCCGUGUCAUGCCAAGUUUCAAGUCAUGAUCUUGCGAUCCGUGACAUUCUCCCCCACUCAAUCCGCUAACAUCCUCGUAGCGAAACGUGUUUCGUGCAUCCUCAUGCAACCUUGCAUUGUCUUCCACGUCCAUGGGCAUCAAAGUUCUCCCAACUUGCGGCACCAUCUCCUUGAUGACCAGGCUUCCACAGUGCCCCUUGCACCUCUUCCCGUUGCAACCUCUUGCAUGCCACCUUCGACACCAACCUUCACCCUUAGCACCUCUGCCUUGGUUCCUCGGAUGGACAACUCCUCCGGUUGUAGUGUCCCCACACUUAUCGAAGCUUUGAACCUUCGUGCACCCAAUUUCGGACUCCUUUGACAAUGCUUCCUCACUUUCCUUCUUUUUCGGUAGUUCCCUCGGCAACUCCGCGAGCAUAAUGUCCUUAUCAUUUUCAAGGACUUCCGCCAACUGCAUCCUUGACAGUUGUUGUGUUUCCAUCCCCACAGAAACAUUUUCAGCACUCAUGGCAUUAAACAACUGGAAGGAAUUCAUUCGAACUUCAUCCUCAUCUUGGCUAUCUAUGGCCUCCGGUUUGCUCUCCGAAAUGGAAAUAGAUGCUAAUGAUGCCAACAUAGGACAAUCCUUCCUGAGAUGUGGUCCUUUGCAAAUAAAGCAACCUCGAGGUGUAAAAUUACUCCUCUUCCUCUCAUCAUACUGCUUACUCCAAGUAGUUGGUUUGUCGCCAACGGGUUUGUAAUCAACUUUGGGAUUUUGCCUCCAAUCUGGCUUACUCCAUUGCAUAGCUCUCCCUAUAUCUUCCUUGUUAUCCCCAAAAUUUCCUUUGGCGGGUUUGAUAGUUUGAGCUUCGGUCUCAAAACUUUCUUCAAACUCCGUCAAGGAUUCGGCUACUGCAAUUGCCUCGUCUACGAUUUUAACAUCACGACGUUGCAACUCUUGUCGCACCCAUGUUGCACAACUGUCUAGAAAAUAGAAUAACAACUCAUCCUCCGGCAUGGUUGGGAUUUGAAGCAUAAGGGUCGUGAACUCUUUGACAUAGUCACGAAUUGUUCCCAUAUGUUUCAAUUCCCUCAAUUUCUUGCGCGCCUCAUAGACGACAUUCUCCGGGUAGAAUUGCCUCUUUAUUUCCCUUUUGAACUCAUCCCAAGUAUCAGCCCUACAAGACCCCCUUGCAAUUUCACCAUGCUUACGACGCCACCACAACGCCGCAAUAUCCGAGAGAUACAUAGAAGCGGUUCGAACUUUCAUGGCUUCAUCAACAAUAUUUACUCCUUCAAAGUAGACUUCCAUUUGCCAUAGGAAGUUUUCCACCUCUUUGGCCUCCCGUUGCCCAUCAUAAUGUUUAGGCUUCGGGUAUUCAAUUCUCGGGGCAACAAUACUUAAAGCGGCACCUCCGCUUGUACCGGCAGUGGAGUGCUUGUAUUGAUUAAGCUCGUUGCUCAUUCUUUCCAUCAUCAUAGCCAAUUGGUUAGCUUGGCCAUGCAUAGCGGUAACGGUAUCCAUGACUUUGGUUUGGAGAUAACCAAAAUCAUCCAUCACCGCGGCUUGUCCGGCUACCACAGCUCGAACAUCACCUUUCAUCGCUUGGACAUCAUCCCCCAACGAUGCCUGUGUGUCCAUCACCUCUUGGACAUUAAUUUGUAGAGUUUCUAUCUUUCCAAUGGCGUGUCCCUCCAACGCCUCGAAGGAGCUCUCAAGAGAUUCGACCCGAUCACCCAUAUCCGAGAUGAUUUGGUCAAGUUUAGCUUCCAUGUUUGUUGUUUCCCUCACCUUACUCUUUCCUCUAGUUUUCCUUACUUCAGUUUGGGCAGCACCUCGACCCCUCUCCUCAAUCUCAAUAUCAAUAGUUUCUUGAGAUUCCGCCAUUUGAGCACCUCACCCAAAUCUAGCUUCCAAGAAUCU
rnacentral:lncRNA from 1 species